rnacentral:tRNA from 1 species
AUUAGCUCAAUUGGUAGAGCAACUGACUCUUAAUCAGUGGGUUCGGGGUUCGAUUCCCUGAU